CUAACUCCCAAUUCAUCUUCAAUACCAAUCCAAAACGCUGCUCACGAUCAAUCCCAAACUCCACCUCCAUAACCCCCCCCCCCCGCUGCACUCGAGCCUUGUCUCCAAGGCUCGCCCACUGUAUCAAAGUUUGGUCACCGCCUGGUUGUUCCGUUUUAUAAUCCGCUUAUCCAAAACAGUGAGACACCCGCUGGGUACACUCGCAGGUGGCCGUUGUCUCCAAUGUCGGAAGGAUGCAAAGAGGCAUAACUUCAGUUCCCUCCGCUGCCUUAGUUAACAGCUUCAAAACCCUCUGUACGUGCCCAUUUGCUUCCUCGGUUCUUUCUUCUAAGAUCGAGAAUCUUUGGUCCAACGAAUUCUUUUCUUUCUUACACCAAGAAGAUUUGUUGGAUCUGUGACUGGCUCUUGAUACCAAUUGUAAUGACUUGCAGAGAAGAGAGAUUACAGAAGAGAAUGAAGGCACAAAUAACAACAGCCAUCAAACAUAUCAUACUGGGCUUACUGCAACUUGAGCCCAUUCCAUCAUAAUAGUCCGACCCAACUAAGCCUACUAAGUGACCCAGCGUAGUUUAGACACAUACAAUUCAAUAUAAUCAGAUUACCCCCUAAUCACAACUAAUCCCUAAUCCCAAAUACCCUCACGAUCGAACCCUAACUCCCAAUUCAUCUUCAACACCAAUACAAAACGGUGCUCACGAUCAAUCCCAAACUCCACCUCCAUAAACAUAAUAGUUUCUUACAGUACGUAUUCUACUUUCUAAUUAUAAGUAGAAUAAAUAAACAUAUAUUUUUUAAAAGAAAUAAAUAAACAGUUAGCAUUAAGAAC